rnacentral:rRNA from 1 species
AUUGAACGCUGGCGGAAUGCUUUACACAUGCAAGUCGAACGGCAGCACGGGGCAACCUGGUGGCGAGUGGCGAACGGUGAGUAAUACAUCGGAACGUGCCCAAUCGUGGGGGAUAACGUAGCGAAAGUUACGCUAAUACCGCAUACGAUCUACGGAUGAAAGCGGGGGAUCGCAAGACCUCGCGCGAAUGGAGCGGCCGAUGUCAGAUUAGGUAGUUGGUGGGGUAAAGGCUCACCAAGCCAACGAUCUGUAGCUGGUCUGAGAGGACGACCAGCCACACUGGAACUGAGACACGGUCCAGACUCCUACGGGAGGCAGCAGUGGGGAAUUUUGGACAAUGGGCGCAAGCCUGAUCCAGCCAUUCCGCGUGCAGGAUGAAGGCC